UUAAUCUGCUGAUAAAUUUUAUGUGCAAAACUCGCAUAGAAGUCACUUGUAGAACUGAUUUUUAGAAUCAUGUGCGUCUCAUGUGAAAUAUGUGCGAACUUAUUCCAUUUCAAAACAUAAUUGAAAUAAUUUUAAGUGCAAUGGCUAUUGAAAUGAAACUAUACGACUUACGCACAUAAAAUUUAUAACAUUGGUAAUGAACUGUUGUUUGUUGUCAACAAGACUGAAAACUAAAGUCAGCACCGUUUAUAAUUGAACAAAAAUUGAGAUGCAUCAACAUAAUCUACAAGUAUAGUGUUAUCUGUGUAAUAUAGCAGAUUUAAACAUAUUGUCGACCGACAGAUAUGGGAUAAUGUUUGGUAUUAUGUCUCCCAAUAAACACACCGCGGCGCAUUAUUUGAAAAAGACUACCGGUAGCUGGUUAAGAAACAAAACUUUCUGCUCAAUAUGGCAGAAGCAUGUGCAGCACCAUAAUUUGCUAUGCUCUAAGCCAAGGAUUCAACCUGCAGAGGUCUGCAGACCUAUCACCGAAUUCGAGGAUAGAGAUACACUUACAGGAGCUUCUAGACGAUAGAGCGCAGUUUUUUCGAUGCGGAAAUGCUUUAAUUAUUACAUACAACGAUUAUGCAUAAAUGUAACAGCAUUUUAUUUCAAUAAAUCAUUUAAUUAUUGAGCAAUUAUUUAAUCUUUGUUUCAAACCAAAACUUAUGAUUAUCAAGAAUAUUUGCAAACGCAAUAAAUAAGGACGAAUUAUUUUUGUCAUGAAUUAUAUGUGCGGAUCUAAUGGAAAAAUCAAUACAUUUGCACAUAAAACCUAUGAUUAUUGAAUCGGUAAAUAUCUAUUAGCGCCGCACAUACUUUGCAAAUGUAAAGUACACUGAUCAAAGUAUAAGUGCGGGGUACAUAGAUGCAAUAUGCAGUUUAUUCU